AACGCACCUUGCGCUCCUUGGUAUUCCGAGGAGCAUGCCUGUUUGAGUGUCAUUAAAUUCUCAACCUCACCUCUUUUGUGUGUAGGCUUGGAUGUGGAGGGCUUGCAGGUCCGGCUCUCUCGAGUUGGUCUGCUCCUCUGAAACGCAUUAGUGGGUUGUAGCCCCUCAUCUAUUGGUGUGAUAAUUAUCUACGCCGUGGAUCAGUGUUGGCAACAAAUGAAGACCUGCUUCUAACCGUCCGACUCGGACAACCGAUGACAUUUUUGACCUCAAAUCAGGUAAGACUACCCGCUGAACUUAA
rnacentral:misc_RNA from 1 species